AUGUAAACACAACUCAGAAAGACCACAUUGGCCGCAGAGUUAAAAUAUUUGAGUACUUCAAGGCGCUGUGUAUAUCAAUGCAUCUAACUCAAGCAUUAAAAUAGAAUACUAAUGACCAAAUUCUUAUAUUUGUAGUUGUACAGAUUCCUUUUUACAACAAUUGCUUUUAUUAAAAAUUGGUAACUUGUAAAUUUUACCAAUACUUAGUAAGAUUUAUAAAUCUUAAAUUUUUAAUUCAGUACUCUGUUAUCAAUAGACAAUAUAUCAUGUAUAAUUUUCUCAUGUAUUAUGUCCAGCUUCCAUAUUGUGUUAUAUCUAAUAAUAAAAUAUUUUCAUUUUUACAAUCAGUGUGAACACAUUUGUUUUAGAUCAUAUACCUGCAUCCCCUAUCCCAUCUCCUGCUCCGCCGGACAAAUUAACGAUUCCACGAGGAUUCUUCAAAAGUUUAAAAACGCAUGUAAAGAGGGGCCAACUUACACAAGUGCGACUUGCGGUUGCAUGCAUUUUCGUCACUACGUAAGACAUCAUGCUGAUGUGGUACAAGAACUGUCCAACAUCACAAUUCCUGAAAAGUCCUACAGAUCGUAUAUCUCUCAAAAAACAGCCCCGGAAAAUAUGUACUCGAAAUUGAACGUUCUAUGAUUCGUCUUCUUCAUUCCGUGAAAAUAGUGCGUUCAAUCAACCUAACCGAAAAAAGAGAAAACAUGAGCUUAAUUUUCGAAGAAUCCCCUCUGUAUAAGUUAGUCUCUGUGUAAGUAGUCGGUGAGUAUCUACGUAGUUUAUUAUUCAUCUUUUAUUUUAUCCUUCUGCAUUCAUUCAAUAUGUCCAAUUCAAAAAUGAAAAUUUUAAAAUGGCUCAAUUUUUCAAAGUUAUUUUGAAAUAUAAUAUGUAUCUAUAGCACUGCGGUAUCUUCCACUUUUUAAAGUUGUCCCUUUGUGUUCCUUUGCCGUUUUUAAGACAACAUUUCUAUUCGAGUUUUGAUUUAUUUGAAAAUAUUAUUUGCUUGUCGCUAUUUUUCCUAAGCCUGGACUGACUUUAUAAUCUGAAUCAAUAUUCGGUAUCAAUGAGCUUCACACUGUUAUAUAUCUGGGAGUAAAAUUCGGUGCAUAUUUCAUCCUAGAGGCUCUCUAGCGAACAAAUAACCCGCGUGGUGCGAAUGCGAGGUUAAAUUAGCUUAAUUCAUAAGAGUAUACGACACUUUGCAAAAAAUGGUAAAAUCCACUCCAUUAAUCCUAUCCCUCGGGAUCUCUGGAUGUAGUGUCGACUCCAGAGUGAAGAACAGUACGCAGUAUUUAGCGGCUCGUGAGAAAUUUUCCUGAGAGAAGUUACUCAAAGGUCAUCAAAUUUGAUGGAAUAUGAGUUUUGUCCAAAUAGUAAAGGGUCCUUUGCCAGCAUUCAAAUGAUAACCCUAAAGCACAUACUGAAUGUAAUGAAUUCCUUUCCUUUGUAUAUUUUUUCAGAGCAAGAUGCUCCUGGCACAUUUCCUGUUUUGCCUGCUAAGAAGCAAGAAUUUGUAUCCUUGAUUUUCUCCCAUUUAUUCCGAUCUGAAUGACAAGACGGGGUGGGGGGGGGGGGGUGCGCCGCUCCGCUCAAAACUUCUGAUAUGAAAGGGCGCAGC
rnacentral:lncRNA from 1 species